CUUGGUAUUGGGUUUUGGCAUGGCAUGUAUAGGAUAGUUGGGAGACUGGGAAGGAAUGGCGCUAGCUGUACCGGAGUCAUCGGUGGAAUACCAACCAUUCCCUGCUGAAAUUCUAAUCUGUACUUUGGAGGUACGGAGACAGUGCUAGGUGGGCAGUUUGACUGGGGCGGUCGCCUCCGAAAGAGUAACGGAGGCGUUCAAAGGUUCUCUCAGGUUGGAUGGAAAUCAACCGCAGAGUGCAAUGGCAAAAGAGAGCUUGAC
rnacentral:rRNA from 1 species